ACUGCCAGUGCCCAGGUGCAAGUGGGGGUGCAGCUGGCCCAGAGUAAAGCUUUGCCAUGGACCCUCGCGCUCCUGGAAACAAAUUCAAGGUUUAACAGGCUCAUCCUGGACGCUGUAUUGAGAAUUGACUUCCAUCAUAAAUGUGGCAGCAGGAAAACCAGGCAGAAGGCAAAAAAAUGAUAGUGGCUUGGACCAAGUGUGUGGCAGUUGAGGAGGAUGUCAACCAAAAAAUGCCUCCAGAUCUUCCAGAUAUUGCCAAAUAUCCUCUGGGAAGCAAAAUCACCCCUGGACAAGAACCACUGAAGUAAACUAAGACACAAGGGGCUGCAUGUUCAGAAACUAAAAAGGGACUCCUAGAAAACUGGAGGCAGCAGAGACUUUUUUCCCCCUCAAAUCAGAAUACAUCUUCACUGUUUCCUCUGU